UUCAGACCCCAACGGCUCGCAGCCUCGGGGUUGGGAGUCCGGGCGGGGAAGGGGAGCGGUCUGAGGAAGGCGUCUUUGCCCUCCUCCGGGGUACCUCCCCUUGUUAAGAGCAAAUGUCGAGAAAAUGACUCGGACAUUCCUUUGCUGCAUUGUUUAGAAUUACAGAGAAGAAUGGAGAUUUGCUGAGAACAUUGCAGGGACUCUGCCUCCCAUGCUCUAGCCGGGAAACAAAAUGGUGCUCCAAAGGUAGAGAUUUCAGGUACAAUCUCAAGGACCUCAUCCACCUGGCUUCACAUGCCUGGAAAUAGCUCUUUCUCUACCUCCUCCUUGACUAAGGAGAGUCUCCAGCCUGAUUAUAAAUGGAACCUUACCAUUUCCCUGGCCUUGAAAGCUCCAGGUGGUGAAGAGGGAAACAGACACGUCUCUUAGAAGUAAGGCAGAGAGAGAACCAUCACCAGCCUUAUUCUUCAUAAACCACAUUCGGGCCUGUAGCAAACAGGGCUGGCUAGAGCAAACAGCCUGAGUCUGCUGUGAAAGCCUCAGCCCUGUCCUGUACCUCUCAUCUAAAGAAACACAAAAUGGAUCCAUAAUUCUUCCAUUUUCCUCCUUUCCCCAUUCAGGAUUAGUGGCUAUUGAUGAAAAUCAGGUCCCAAGCUGGCCAAACAAGGUCUGCCUUUUGCUGUAUCCUUGGCAGCACCCUAUGAAUCUUUCAGUAUCGAUUGUGAAUAUUAAAUAGAACUAUUAAGAUGAGCAAUCUCCCAGUGAACAGGAACAAGGGAAACUCUUGUGAUGCAGGGUACACGUGGGAGCCUGCCAGUGAUGCGGUGGGGUGCCAGGGCCUGCCUUCCCAGGGCCUGUCCUCAACAGAUGUCAGCACUUGUUUUUCCUCAGGAAGGAGAGAGUUGUCCCGGUGGUAAGAACAGAGUCUUGGGGAGCUCCACGGCUUGGACAGAUGAAAGGAAACCAGCCAGUCAGCAACAGAUGGAGACCAAAAUCAGAGUGCCUGAGAGGAGAGAGAAGAGGUUGUCAGCAUCACAUCCCACUUCCUCAGCUCAAAACCAGGGAUUCCUGAUCUUUCCUGACUCCUCUUUCCUGAUUGUGCCAGAGGACCACCAGUCACAGCUUCCCUUUAAUGGACUCCCUUCUGGGAAGAGAGGGUAAUGAGAAAUGGGAUGCAGCAAGGCCUUGUCUAGGCAGAUAUAUUCUUUUAUUGAUUAAUCAACAGAUAUUUUCUUAACAUCUAUUUCAUGCAUAGUGAAAAUAUUGUGCCCAAUACUGUGGAAAAUUGGAGAAAGUCAAAUAUAUGGUCCUUGGCCUUCAAAUGCUUAGUUUCUGUUACGGAGAAAGACUAAACAGGCGAGGUACGAUCCCUGUUGCACUGUGUGGGACAGUCAGAGAUGUCACUUCAUAAGGGCCCAGCAGCAGACUCAAAAACUUUCUAGAGAAAGCAAGCCAGUCCCAGAAAGCCUCUCUGGGACCUCAGUUUCCCCAUUUGUAACAUGAGCUGCUAUUCAGCUAUAGAAUGACUUCUCACUGAUCCACACCUCAAGGCUUCCAAGGAUCUGGAAAGAAGGAUCUGGCUCAGUAGAGGGCCCUGUGCAGAGGGGACCAGGUGAGCGUGACUCCCAUGGGGAGACGGCUGCUGAGAAUGCCAGGUGUGUUCCAGGGACUGAGGGUUGCACAGAAAGGGGGCAGGGAAGGGUGGCAGAACCCCUAAUGUCUUCUUGUCAUCUCCUAUCAUGGUAAGGGACAGAGCUGAACUGCUCUUCCCCGAACAUCCCCCCCCUAAAAUACAUAUACCUGGCUCUGGCACCCACCUUUCCUGGGUGUGUUCUUCCCUCCCUCCACUCCCCAAUUCCAGGCCCAUGAGUGAGGGCUAGGGCCUGUCUUUGGGGAGCAGAUCCCAACGGGCCCGCCUUACCCCGCCCCACUUUUCCCCCUCGGCAUACUGCCACGCUCCUUGCCUGUUGGGGCCCAUCCCAGUCUUUGCCCAGGGGCUUGGGAGCCCGUGCAGCAGCUGCAGCAACUGAUGAGCCCAGGCCUGUCUUGCUCCCACCCUCUGGCAGCUGGGCAAGGCUGUAGCCAAGGAAGAGGGCCCCUACUAGGGGCAAGAGUAGGAGGGUACAGUCAGGCUGGCAGUUCUGUCAGGGGAGGCAAUCUGACCCCCAGGAAGGGGAGGCCCCCACCUCUGGGGUCAAAAUGUGGCCUCCCCACAGGAGGGGAGAUCGGCCCCCAGACUGCAUGCCAGGGGGCCCUGUCAGAGCUGUUUCUUUGGGAAGCCUUGGUCAUUAUGGGAAGACAAGAGCAAACUGCUCAGGCAUGUCUACCUUACCUCCUCUAACCGGGCA